CAGUCGCCGCGGUAAUACGAAGGGGGCUAGCGUUGUUCGGAUUUACUGGGCGUAAAGCGCACGUAGGCGGACUUUUAAGUCAGGGGUGAAAUCCCGGGGCUCAACCCCGGAACUGCCUUUGGUACUGGAAGUCUUGAGUAUGGUAGAGGUGAGUGGAAUUCCGAGUGUAGAGGUGAAAUUCGUAGAUAUUCGGAGGAACACCAGUGGCGAAGGCGGCUCACUGGACCAUUACUGACGCUGAGGUGCGAAAGCGUGGGGAGCAAACAGGAUUAGAUACCCCGGUAGUCCCUGUCUCUUAUAC
rnacentral:rRNA from 1 species